AACGAACGCUGGCGGCGUGCCUAACACAUGCAAGUCGGAUGUGCCGCAAGGUGCAUGGCAGACGGGUGAGUAACGCGUAGGGAAUCUACCUUUUUGUGGGGAAUAACGCUCCGAAAGGAGUGGUAAUACCGCAUGAGACCGUGACCUGGGAUGGUUACGGUGAAACCUGGGGACCGCAAGGCCUGGGGCAAAAAAGAGGAUCCUGCGUCUGAUUAGCUAGCUGGCGGGGUAAUGGCCCACCAAGGCGACGAUCAGUAGCCGGCCUGAGAGGGUGAUCGGCCACACUGGAACUGAGACACGGUCCAGACUCCUACGGAGGCAGCAGUGGGAAUUUUGCGCAAUGGACGAAAGUCUGACGCAGCAACGCCGCGUGGGUGAUGAAGGUCUUCGGACUGUAAAACCCUGUCGUCAGGGACGAAGGUGGCAGUGUUAAUAGCGCUGUUACUUGACGGUACCUGGAGAGGAAGCCCCGGCUAACUCUGUGCCAGCA
rnacentral:rRNA from 1 species